CCCCCCCCCCCCCCCCCCCCCCCCCCCCCCCCCCCCCCCCCCCCCCCCCCCCCCCCCCCCCCCCCCCCCCCCGGCCGCCCGCGAUGUUCGGGGCGGGCAGGUACAGCAUCCCGCGGCCCGUCACCAGAAACCUGGAGGACCUGGACUCGGUGCAGAGCGUCCUGCUGCACAGCUCAAGGUGUCAGACGGAACAGCCGUGUGAAAUCCAUUCCUGUGAGCGCUGGGGAUGCAAGCACAGAGCAAAGCAAGGAGAGCACGCUGCAAUCAGCCUGCUCCGGCACAGCACUCUCUGAGGCUGCUUCAUGCACAAGAAAUGUGCUCCUAUGCAAACAGAACCCCACGGACUUCUCAGUGACUUAACAGAAAAUGUUCUGUUUCAGAGCCCGAUUAAAAACAUGCUGCCCCAUCGUACUGCUUACGUUAAUAUACUCUAACUGGAAAAAGGAUACUCAUGCUUGAAACCUUUGCGUGUUGACUGACUACAAAUACUGGUUUUCCUUCAUGCCUGACAUGCCUGCUAUGCAUAGCAGGUGGUCCUAAAAAUAACCAUUUAAAACACUUAAAGCAGUAGGAAAAAAAAUGAAAAUUACAAUUGCUUUUCGUUCUGGAGAGAAUUUUUAACUCUGUAAGUGUUUUUCAGAAGAAUGAGAUGGGUUGUACUACUCUUUCCAGAUUCUUCACAGCUGUCUUCCUGUCGGUUUUGUGUCCUCCUGAAAUACCUUCUGAGAUCAGAGUUGACAGAGAAAGCUUAAGAAGUCAGAAUACUCUUUCUAUUUCAUUUACUAAGCACUAGAGUGUUUUCUCACAAAAUUUCUGUUCCUUUGGUCCCAGAGGUAGCCUUCAUUCUCCGUGGAUUCUCUGUUUAUAUGUAAAUAUCCCAAUGAAAAUGACAGCCCAGUGUCACUCUUCAGUUCAGGCCACUUUGCUGUGGAUGGUCUCUAGACAGUCUUGUCAGAGGAGUUGUGAACAGAAGAUUCUGUAAUCAGUGUCUUACACAGUUUAAUGGAAACCUUGUAAUCAAAAAAAUCUUAAUUAUUAAGGAAUCCAUGUGAAAUAUGUAUUUUGCCCUUGAAGAAAGACUUGGGCAGGGGAGGGGAAAGUUGUGUUGCUGUCAUUAAUAUUUUAAAAAGAGCGAAUUAUUUCUGACGUAUUUUGCUCAUGCUGUGCACUGGAGGAAUAAAAAAACCCAGGAAUCAAUAGCUGAAAUAUAACGUCACUAAUGUUUUUUGUUAGCUUUUCUUUCAUUAAAGCAAGAAACACAACUGAAAAACAAAAGAUGAAACUAUUUUCCUCUUAAUCUGCUUGCAAUGUAUCAUGUUUUAUCUGAAAUGUAUCAUUUGUGCCUGUCCAGUUGAUGUAUCGUUUGUGUCUGUCCAGUUAUUGGUAGAGCCUCCCUGGAAAUAUUAAGUGAUCUGAAAAGAAGCAGCAAGCCAAAAAAAAUCCAUUAUCAAGUCACUUAGGGCCUUCUUACCUCAUUAUCACUAAUGAAGAGCUGCAGUUUGCAGCAUGGAACCAGUGUGUCCUAUGCCCUGUCUUCUUUUAACUUCAGUCUCCUUCUGAACACAGGGAAGGGUCAAGGCAGGUUAUUUUUAAAGCACAACAGUUUCUAAAACAGGUUAAGCCAAAAAAAGAAAAAAAAAAAAAGUAACAAGAAACUCUUGUUCAGGAAAUAAAUUUCCACGCAUGGAUUUAGUUCUUUGCAGGAACAGCUAAUCAGAAGAGACUUCAAACUUUAAUUAGCCACUCCUAAGUGCUCAUUACCCAGCUGUCCAGUGAGGGUGAACAAUGCUUCUGAUACCAGUGAUGCCCCCUGGCAGAUUUUUACCAUCUGCAUGUUAUAAACAGCAACUUGGCAUAGAAGGCUCAUGGAUUCCUUAUCCCCCUGGCAGAUUUUUACCAUCUGCAUGUUAAAAACAGCAACUUGGCGUAGAAGGCUCAUGGAUUCCUUAGUGAGGAGCAUCAGCCCCAGCUACUCAGAUUAAGUGUAAAGUGUCUGCCAGAAGACAAAUUAUUUCAAGUCUCGUCCUAAUAUUUAUGCCCAAGAAACGAGAGGCUUUCCUCUCAAGGGGGAUUGUGUGGGAAAAUCUGUGUCUUCACUAAAAUAAGAUCCUGCUGUGUGAGAUAUAUCCUGCAAUCUUUAAUUGUUCCCACAGCAGCAAAAAUUCCACAUUUGUUUCAGCAAAGUCUUUAGGUGGCUCCCAGCUACUCCUCUCAGAGGACCAAAGCCUUCCAUCAUCCUUCCAUUCAUAAUAUGCUUAUUCCUAUAAAAUAGCAUGGUGUAAGACCACUGCCUCCUUGAGAGAGAGCCUGCGUUUCUCACUUAGUGAACAAACAACUGGAACCAAUUAAUCAACUCUUGAACUCAGUGAAAUUUAACUAACACAGCACCAUCUGGCACUGACUAUCACUUCUCUACAGAAACACUUCAGUGUGCUGCUCAGUGUAUUAAAAGUGCUUGCAAGUGUAAGCAUAAUUAGGGAGAAUGGGACCGUGUAUCUCAUCUACUUCUAAAUGAAAGCAUAGAAGAACUUUUUUCUUUAGGAAAUGUUUCUGUCUCGCUCUCUGGGUAGGUGUGUAGUCUUAAUAACCGUGCAAGAGUAAUUUAUCUGUGAAAUCAGGUCUUGUGCAGGCACUUCAGAAUGGCCACAGUACUUAAUAUAGGUAUUUUUACUCCAGUUGAAGCCUUAAUCACAUGGAUAUGAGUCCAAAACAUUUCUGCCUGUUAAUUCACUUGCAAUCACACCUACUAAUAUGUGCUUCCCUAAAGCAGUUUCAAGUACAGGAAUUUCAUACCAGGAUUCUGUCACUCCUCUGUAGUGUUCCAGCACUAUAAAAUCUCUCUGCUGAAGCUGUGCAAAUAUCCCACUGAGCAGAGAUUAAAUCCAGCACAUUAAACUGGAUGUUCCAACAAUUACUCUCCAUCCCUUUCCCUGCUCACCAUGUGUGUCCUGAUGGGUUUACUGACACAGCUACAUAGCAAGUUGUCUGCAGGGCUUCCAUAAGUCUUGUUUUUCAUGGAUGUGAAUAAUUUAAGUCCUGAAAACCGAGUAGGGCUUUUUUUUUUUUUUUUUUGUCUCUCUCUCGACUGUGCAUGAUUUUACACGUGUAGACUGCGUGGGAUAUUUUAAGGUACUUGUUUGGCCUUGUCACAUCCUUGCUUCUCCUGAAGCGCACUGCUCUCCUGACAAACCUAAGGAGAAUCUAAUUUCUCACAGCUCGUUAAAUUAAUAUAAUAACAUACAAAAUAAAGCACAGAGGCAUCUCACUGCUUAUCAAUUGACCCGAGAAUCACUUUUAACCUCAUGUUUCCCCCUCAUGAUCAGUGUUUGGUUACAAUGCUCUGAGCUUCACCUCAGGACUCUCGCGUUUUACUAACGUGUGUCUAUGGGAUGGGCGCUGGGACCUUGGCAACUUGGGAUCAGGCAACUAAAUAGUCUGGUUCUGCAUGAUGCGUUCCUGUUGAGCCAGGGAAAGACGUCUGAGGGGCGGGUCAGGUUAGGCACAUGGGAAUUCCCGUGACAAUGUAGGGUUUACCCUCAGCGCGGAGGGCCGCUCCCUCACGGCCGGGCCCUCGCCCCCCCCCCCCCCCCCCCCCCCCCCCCCCCCCCCCCCCCCCC
ensembl:lncRNA